GAUGAACGCUGGCGGCGUGCCUAAUACAUGCCAGUCGAGCGAACAGACGAGGAGCUUGCUCCUCUGACGUUAGCGGCGGACGGGUGAGUAACACGUGGAUAACCUACCUAUAAGACUGGGAUAACUUCGGGAAACCGGAGCUAACCCCGGAUAAUAUAUUGAACCGCAUGGUUCAAUAGUGAAAGACGGUUUUGCUGUCACUUAUAGAUGGAUCUGCGCCGCAUUAGCUAGUUGGUAAGGUAACGGCUUACCAAGGCAACGAGGCGUAGACGACGUGAGAGGGUGAUCGGCCACACUGGAACUGAGACACGGUCCAGACUCCUACGGGAGGCAGCAGUAGGGAAUCUUCCGCAAUGGGCGAAAGCUUGACGGAGCAACGCCGCGUGAGUGAUGAAGGUCUUCGGAUCGUAAAACUCUGUUAUUAGGGAAGAACAAAUGUGUAAGUAACUAUGCACGUCUUGACGGUACCUAAUCAGAAAGCCACGGCUAACUACGUG
rnacentral:rRNA from 1 species